GACGUAGGGGGCGAGCGUUGCCCGGAAUCACUGGGCGUAAAGGGAAAGUAGGCGGUCUAGCAAGUCAGAUGUGAAAUGUCAUGGCUCAACCAUGGAAUUGCGUUUGAAACUGCGAGACUUGAGGAUACCAGAGGAAGGCGGAAUUACUUGAGUAGAGGUGAAAUUCGUAGAUACAAGUAAGAAGGCCAGUGGUGAAGACGGCUUUCUGGGGUAAUCCUGACGCUGAGAUUCGAAAGCUAGGGGAGCGAACCGG
rnacentral:rRNA from 1 species